rnacentral:misc_RNA from 1 species
UUUUAUUCGGGUUUAUUCGAUGAUUUUUUUCGAUUUUAUUCGAUAAUUUUGUUUUUUUUCGUUUGGUGUUGAUAUUAUUCGAUUUUAUUCGAUGAUAAUUUUAUUCGAUUUUAUGCGAUGAUUUUAUUUUAUUUUAUUUGAAGAUGAUUUUAUUCGAGAUUAUUCGAUGAUUGUAUUUAAUUUAUUCGAUGACGAUUUUAUUUAAUUUCGUUUAAUGAUUUUAUUUGAUUUUAUUUGA